rnacentral:rRNA from 1 species
UGGCGAAUUCGCAAGUAUUCGAUAGAGUUUGAUCAUGGCUAGAAAAACGCCACGGCGUGUCUUAAGCAUGCAGUCGAGCGGAGGAACAACAAUGCGCUGAGAGCGGCGGACUGGUGAGUAACGCGUGGGUAAUCUACCUUUGGCAUGGGGAUAGCCCCUAUAAAUAGUGGGUAAUACCGAAUACGUUCCCUGGGGGGAGAUUUCAGGGAAGAAAGGGUGCUACGGCACCGGCCGGAGAUGAGCUCGCGUCCCAUUAGCUAGUUGGUGAGGUAACGGCCCACCAAGGCGAUGAUGGGUAGCCGGCCUGAGAGGGUGUACGGCCACACUGGGACUGAGAUACGGCCCAGACUCCUACGGGAGGCAGCAGCUAAGAAUAUUCCGCAAUGGACGAUAGUCUGACGGAGCGACGCCGCGUGGAUGAUGAAGGCCGAAAGGUUGUAAAGUCCUUUUGCUGGGGGAAGAAUAAGUGUGGGAGGGAAUGCCCCGCAUGAUGACAUGAAACCGGCGAAUAAGCCCCCGGCCCAACUACGUGCCAGCAGCCGCCGGAACCACGUAGGGGGGCGAGCGUUGUUUCGGGAUUUACUGGGCGUAAAGGGCAUGAAGGCGGUUCUGUAAAGGCUGACGUGAAAGGCCAACAGGCUCAACUGGGGGGAUUGGCGUUGGGAACUUGCUGGGGCUUGAGGUUAUGGAAGAGGGAAGCU